GUGCUCGCUUCGGUAGCACAUAUACUAAAAUUGGAAUGAUACAGAGAAGAUUAGCAUGGCCCCCUGUGCAAGGAUGGCAUGCAAAUUAGUGAAGCAAUUCAUAUUUUU
rnacentral:snRNA from 1 species